rnacentral:tmRNA from 2 species
GGGGGCGAAACGGCUUCGACAGGAAUCUGUGAUUAACGCGCGGAGCGAGCCGAGGGCCCGAACCUCGACAGCAAUCGGGAAAAUAAACAAACGCUGACACUCAGUUAGCACUGGCCGCUUAAAGGCGGACCCGUCCCUCUCCGGGAAGCCCGCGACCGGGGAAGGGGCGUCAUGCAGCGGGAUCACCAAAGCCUGACUCCCGUAACGGCUGAGGGAAAUCUAACGGGAUAGCUUGCGGCGAGUCUGUCGCCGGUCGCGCCGGAAGUGAAAUUAAGGCGGCGAAUACGCUCGUAGAGCCCACUUAAUCGGAUUCUUGGACGGGGGUUCGACUCCCCCCGCCUCCACCA